rnacentral:rRNA from 1 species
UGAGGAAUAUUGGUCAAUGGACGAGAGUCUGAACCAGCCAAGUAGCGUGCAGGAUGACGGCCCUAUGGGUUGUAAACUGCUUUUGUUUGGGAAUAAUCGACAUUACGUGUAAUGUUUUGCAUGUACCAUUCGAAUAAGGACCGGCUAAUUCCGUGCCAGCAGCCGCGGUAAUACGGAAGGUCCAGGCGUUAUCCGGAUUUAUUGGGUUUAAAGGGAGUGUAGGCGGUUGGUUAAGCGUGUUGUGAAAUGUAGAUGCUCAACAUCUGACUUGCAGCGCGAACUGGCUGACUUGAGUACACACAACGUAGGCGGAAUUCAUGGUGUAGCGGUAAAAUGCUUAGAUAUCAUGAAGAACUCCGAUUGCGAAGGCAGCUUACGGGAGUGUUACUGACGCUUAAGCUCGAAGGUGCGGGUAUCGAACAGG